AGUGAACGCUGGCGGUAGGCCUAACACAUGCAAGUCGAACGGCAGCACAGGAGAGCUUGCUCUCUGGGUGGCGAGUGGCGGACGGGUGAGGAAUACAUCGGAAUCUACUUUUUCGUGGGGGAUAACGUAGGGAAACUUACGCUAAUACCGCAUACGACCUACGGGGGAAAGCAGGGGAUCUUCGGACCUUGCGCGCAUGAAUGAGCCGAUGUCGGAUUAGCUAGUUGGCGGGGUAAAGGCCCACCAAGGCGACGAUCCGUAGCUGGUCUGAGAGGAUGAUCAGCCACACUGGAACUGAGACACGGUCCAGACUCCUACGGGAGGCAGCAGUGGGGAAUAUUGGACAAUGGGCGCAAGCCUGAUCCAGCCAUACCGCGUGGGUGAAGAAGGCCUUCGGGUUGUAAAGCCCUUUUGUUGGGAAAGAAAUCCAGCUGGCUAAUACCCGGUUGGGAUGACGGUACCCAAAGAAUAAGCACCGGCUAACUUCGUGCCAGCCGCCGCGGUAA
rnacentral:rRNA from 1 species